AUUGCAGAAGUGUAAACUCAGGACCUCACAGCUCUGUCAAUUUACACAGACAUUCAAUUCAUUCUAUUAAUUUUAGACAUAUAAUGGUAAGCUGAUUUUUUUAUAGCACACUGAUCGAUAUCUGUGUAAAAUAAUCAUUUUUUUUUUAACUAGCGGGGCAGUGAAAUCUUUGCUUUGUGCUAAAGUCAACAGUGACAGAGUUUGAGCUCAAAUAAAUGCCGUGAUGUCUGGAGCCCUUUGCAGAAGGCAGACGGCAGGGGCUCUCCGAUGGGCUUCCGUGGCUUGCCAACAACAAGCAUCGACUGUUUUUGCACAGGUCAUUCAUCAUGCAGGGAGGAUUCCAUCCUCACCCCCCCGCCCCUCAUCACAGAGCCUCCAUCUAGCAAUUUGUUUCUGAAUAAAAAAUGUGAUCAUGAUUGCUCCGGCGGAAAAAUACGAGGAGAGGGAAAAUUCAAAAUCAGCGUCUCUCCAAAGCCCGGGUGCUCCGUCUCGGUAUCGAUCAGCGACAGAUCAAAUGGAUGAGGGGAGAGGCCGGGUGUCAUUCCCCUGAUGUGCGGGGCUUUGAUUCGAUGGAAACUUUUCAAUGGCGGCCCACCGUCUACUUUCAACACACUACUCGGACCUUAAAAGGCACUUUCCUGUUUGACGUACCUGGCUGCAAUAUGAAAUAUCAAAGCCUCUGUCAGUGUGGAGCUGAAUGGGAACAAAAGAGAGGCCUCCAUUAAUGAUUAACUGUUCUAAAAGCCCCGGCUUUUGUAUUCCCAUGGUGCCCGGGCUAUCUUGCCGCCAUGUGACAUGCUCACAGCAUUUUUCGAGCAGAUUGGGGGAAAGCUAGUGAGCAAACACAGGUGCUUUGGAGCGGCGUUGGCGAUGCUGUCAGGGACAACCACAAACAAGAGCAGCUAUGCCUGGCUAAAUGAACCCCCGCCACACCCCCUUCCCCCCCCCCGC
ensembl:lncRNA